rnacentral:rRNA from 1 species
AAUGAACGCUGGCGGCGUGCUUAACACAUGCAAGUCGUGCGCGAAGGUGGCUUCGGCCACCGGAGAGCGGCGAACGGGUGAGUAACACGUGGGUAAUCUACCUGGGAGUGGGGAAUAACCUGGGGAAACUCGGGCUAAUUCCGCAUACGUUGGCAGGGUUAUGGCCUUGCCUGGAAAGCUGGCCUCUACUUGUAAGCUAGCGCUCCCAGAGGAGCCCGCGGCUGAUUAGCUAG